AUGGCUCAGACGCGGUGGUGUCGACGUGCACCUCCCUCGCGGAGGUCGUCCGACGGCAGCCUGCGAGGUGGCGGAUCUGGGGCCCUCGCGCCCGGAUCUUGUGCUGUGAGUGGCCUCGGCGACUUGGCGGUUGCUGGCAGGGGGCCUCCAUGGUGGCGAGCUGCUGUACGGCUGGCCCAGAGCCGGCCGGAGUGCGGUCUCGACGGCGCCAUUGUGGAGGAAGGUGGGUUGCAGUGGUUUCUGCAGCCGGUGGUGGUUGGCGGCGACGUGCUGCCUUGCGUGCUUGGUCAUGUGGCUUGGGCGAGGACGAUCGACAUGAUGCCGGAGACGGUUUGCUGGGCGGGCUGCGGUGAGGAUGGAUUUGGUCUGGUCCUUCAUCAGUUCGCUGUGGCUCGGGUGGCUUUGUGGGUUCUUCGUUGGCCAGGCGUCUGCGCGGCCUCGGGGCUGGUGAGGAAGUCGGAGCAGCGGCUCCGGAGAACAUCACCGUGGAGUUUCUUAUCUGGUCGCAUGGGCGUUAACGUCAUCAGCUCAUGUGGAGCGCGGCCUCAGGGCCGGUGGGGAAGUCGGAGGGGCGGCUGCGGAGAGCACCUCUGUGUUGUGGAGCGUCGGUUUUGGUCGUGUGGACGGCAGAGUCGUCGACUCGCAUGGACUGCGGCCUCGGGGCCGACGUGUGAAAAUAGAAAUCGUGUGGCAAAAUUGCCAAUCUGGGGCCAGAGCUGGAUCCAGGUCAUCUCUAGGGUGCACUACUACCUGUCCCUCUCCGGCUCCCCCGAGAACCUCCUCCACACUCUCAAGGGCCGCUUUUGCUUUCUCGGUUCUGACCUCAAGAGAAUAGCGUUGCACGCUGUUGCAUUCCAAAGCAAGGAGAAGGUUGCCGCUAAAGUGGAGUACUUGAGGAACACCUUCAGUUGGUCACAUGCCGAGGUGGGCAUUGCGGUGUCCCUAAGGAAUUCAAAGGACAAGCUGCAACGCAUGUCCGAGUUCUUCAUCUCGGAGGUGGGGCUGGAACCGAACUAUACUGCUCAACAACUAGUAAUGCUCGGGUUUAGUUUAGAUGGAUGGCUCAGGCCCCGGUACUACGUUAUAAAGUUUCUCAAGGAAAAUGGAUUGCUCAAGCGUGUCCAAAGAUGCAGUACAAUUUUCCAUUCCGUCGAGAAGUUAUUCAUGGACAAGUACAUAUGCCCUCACAAGGAAGCUGCACCUCACCCUGCUGAAGACUAUGCUGCCGCCUGCAGAUGUGAAAUGCAAACUGCUUUCGAAUUCAUGAACCAAAAAUGUAGUAUCGAACCAUGA
rnacentral:rRNA from 1 species